rnacentral:rRNA from 1 species
AUUGAACGCUAGCGGGAUGCCUUACACAUGCAAGUCGAACGGCAGCGCGGACUUCGGUCUGGCGGCGAGUGGCGAACGGGUGAGUAAUGUAUCGGAACGUGCCCAGUAGCGGGGAAUAACUACUCGAAAGAGUAGCUAAUACCGCAUACGCCCUACGGGGGAAAGGGGGGGAUCGCAAGACCUCUCACUAUUGGAGCGGCCGAUAUCGGAUUAGCUAGUUGGUGAGGUAAAGGCUCACCAAGGCGACGAUCCGUAGCUGGUUUGAGAGGACGACCAGCCACACUGGGACUGAGACACGGCCCAGACUCCUACGGGAGGCAGCAGUGGGGAAUUUUGGACAAUGGGGGCAACCCUGAUCCAGCCAUUCCGCGUGUGCGAUGAAGGCCUUCGGGUUGUAAAGCACUUUUGGCAGGGAAGAAAUCGCACGGAUUAAUACUCUGUGUGGAUGACGGUACCUGCAGAAUAAGCACCGGCUAACUACGUGCCAGCCGCCGCAGUAA